rnacentral:rRNA from 1 species
UCGAGAAUCUUUCGCAAUGGGCGCAAGCCUGACGAAGCGACGCCGCGUGUAGGAUGAAGGCCUUCGGGUUGUAAACUACUGUCUUUGGGGAGCAACGGCCGGAAUGUUAACACCAUACCGGAGUGAUAGUACUCAAGGAGGAAGCCACGGCUAACUCUGUGCCAGCAGCCGCGGUAAUACAGAGGUGGCAAGCGUUGUUCGGAUUUACUGGGCGUAAAGGGUGCGUAGGCGGUUCUGCGUGUCGGAUGUGAAAUCUCACUGAAAACGGUGAAACUGCAUUCGAAACUGCAGGGCUGGAGUGCAGGAGAGGAUGGCGGAAUUCUCGGUGUAGCGGUGAAAUGCGUUGAUAUCGAGAGGAACGCCGGUGGCGAAGGCGGCCAUCUGGACUGCAACUGACGCUGAGGCACGAAAGCUAGGGGAGCAAACAGGAUUAGAUACCCCGGUAGUCC